GAUUCUGGCUCAGGAUGAACGCUAGCUACAGGCUUAACACAUGCAAGUCGAGGGGCAUCAUGAGAUUAGCUUGCUAAUCUUGAUGGCGACCGGCGCACGGGUGAGUAACGCGUAUCCAACCUUCCCCUUAGUAGGGCAUAGCCCGGCGAAAGUCGGAUUAAUACCCUAUGUUGUCAAUAGAGGACAUCUGAAGCUGACUAAAGAUUAAUCGCUAAGGGAUGGGGAUGCGUCUGAUUAGGUGGUAGGCGGGGUAACGGCCCACCUAGCCGACGAUCAGUAGGGGUUCUGAGAGGAAGGUCCCCCACACUGGUACUGAGACACGGACCAGACUCCUACGGGAGGCAGCAGUGAGGAAUAUUGGUCAAUGGGCGUAAGCCUGAACCAGCCAAGUAGCGUGCAAGGAUGACGGCCCUAUGGGUUGUAAACUGCUUUUAUGCGGGGAUAAAGUCACCUAUGUGUAGGUGUUUGUAGGUACCGCAUGAAUAAGGACCGGCUAAUUCCGUGCCAGCAGCCGC
rnacentral:rRNA from 1 species